rnacentral:lncRNA from 1 species
CAGUAGGUAUAGUCGCCAUGGACUAUAACCAUCGUGAUCACGCUCACGUUAUGAAGUUCCAAUGAACUUCGUGUUGACCAUAGGCUGGUCAACGCAGAAAGUCAAACAAAACGUUGACUUUCGGACUCGAAAAGCGAAUAAAGAACGAAAGAACACUUACGAAGGGUCCCCGAAAGCUAAUCUCGAUCCAGGAGCUCAGGUAUGAAGCAAAGGCCUCAACUUAGAGCUUUAGAUCAGAUUUUGUGAGAUUUUAACCAAAAGGGGGGGGGGGUAUUUAUAGGAAAAGUAAAGCCGUUAGGAUUGUUUCUUGAAUAUCGUGCCACGAUCUUAUGCGUACACUUGUCGCAAAGUUGUGGUGGCUCAAAUUGACCCUAACUCUACAGAUUGUGAAAGGGCAUUGCCCUUUGGAGUGUUUGA